CAGAGAACAAGAGGAGAAGCUGAAUCUGGAAAGAUAAUGAACACUCAAUAGACACACAUGGUCAUGUGGGACUCGGAUCCCAGGAUGUCUUAGAGCAGGAGGCAGGUGGACC
rnacentral:lncRNA from 1 species